rnacentral:rRNA from 1 species
UAAUACGUAGGGUGCAAGCGUUAUCCGGAAUUAUUGGGCGUAAAGAGCUCGUAGGCGGUUUGUCGCGUUCUGCUGUGAAAAUCUGAGGCUCAACCUCGGACUUGCAGUGGGUACGGGCAGACUAGAGUGCAGUAGGGGAGAAGGGAAUUCCUGGUGUAGCGGUGGAAUGCGCAGAUAUCAGGAGGAACACCAAUGGCGAAGGCACUUCUCUGGGCUGUAACUGACGCUGAGGAGCGAAAGCGUGGGAGCGAACAGGAUUAGAUACCCUGGUAGUCCACGCCGUAAACGUUGGGCGCUAGAUGUGGGUCACAUUCCACGUGAUCCGUGUCGCAGCUAACGCAUUAAGCGCCCCGCCUGGGGAGUACGGCCGCAAGGCUAAAACUCAAAGGAAUUGACGGGGGCCCGCACAAGCGGCGGAGCAUGCGGAUUAAUUCGAUGCAACGCGAAGAACCUUACCAAGGCUUGACAUAUAGAGGAAAACUGCAGAAAUGUAGUCCCC